rnacentral:tRNA from 1 species
AGGGCUAUAGCUCAGCGGUAGAGCGCCUCGUUUACACCGAGAAUGUCUACGGUUCGAAUCCGUAUAGCCCU